rnacentral:rRNA from 1 species
AGUGAACGCUGGCGGCAGGCCUAAUACAUGCAAGUCGAACGGCAGCACAGUGGAGCUUGCUCCAUGGGUGGCGAGUGGCGGACGGGUGAGGAAUACAUGGGAAUCUGCCCAGUCGUGGGGAUAACGUAGGGAAACUUACGCUAAUACCGCAUGCGCCCUUCGGGGAAAGCCGGGGACCGUAAGGCCUGGCGCGAUUGGAUGAGCCCAUGUCGGAUUAGCUAGUUGGCGGGGUAACGGCCCACCAAGGCGACGAUCCGUAGCUGGUCUGAGAGGAUGAUCAGCCACACUGGAACUGAGACACGGUCCAGACUCCUACGGGAGGCAGCAGUAGGGAAUAUUGGACAAUGGGCGCAAAGCCUGAUCCAGCCAUGCCGCGUGAGUGAAGAAGGCCCUCGGGUUGUAAAGCUCUUUGUCCGGAAAGAAAAGCAACUGGGUU